rnacentral:rRNA from 1 species
UGGGGAAUAUUGGACAAUGGGGGCAACCCUGAUCCAGCAAUGCCGCGUGUGUGAAGAAGGUCUUCGGAUUGUAAAGCACUUUCGACGGGGACGAUGAUGACGGUACCCGUAGAAGAAGCCCCGGCUAACUUCGUGCCAGCAGCCGCGGUAAUACGAAGGGGGCUAGCGUUGCUCGGAAUGACUGGGCGUAAAGGGCGUGUAGGCGGUUUACACAGUCAGAUGUGAAAUCCCCGGGCUUAACCUGGGAGCUGCAUUUGAUACGUGUAGACUAGGGUGUGAGAGAGGGUUGUGGAAUUCCCAGUGUAGAGGUGAAAUUCGUAGAUAUUGGGAAGAACACCGGUGGCGAAGGC